GCUGAAACACUGCUUCUAGUAAGAACACCAAAGUUAAGCAACGACGCGCCUGGGCAAUACCUAGAUGGGUGACUGCUUGGAAAUACCAGGUGCU